AGCGUGGAGACAGGUGGUGCAUGGCUGUCGUCAGCUCGUGUCGUGAGAUGUUGGGUUAAGUCCCGCAACGAGCGCAACCCUCACCCCUUGCUGCCAUCAGGUAAUGCUGGGCACUCUAGGGGAACUGCCCCGGUCAACGGGGAGGAAGGCGGGGAUGACGUCAAGUCAUCAUGCCCCUUACGUCCUGGGCUACACACGUGCUACAAUGGCCGGUACAAAGGGAUGCAACGCCGUGAGGCAGAGCCAAACCCAAAAAGCCGGUCUAAGUUCAGAUUGGAGUCUGCAACUCGACUCCAUGAAGGAGGAAUCGCUAGUAAUCGCGUAUCAGCACGACGCGGUGAAUACGUUCCCGGGCCUUGUACACACCGCCCGUCACACCACGAAAGCCAGCUGUACUCGAAGUCGCUGAG
rnacentral:rRNA from 1 species